rnacentral:rRNA from 1 species
AGAGUUUGAUCCUGGCUCAGGAUGAACGCUGGCGGCGUGCCUAACACAUGCAGUCGUACGAGCUCGAUCUUCGGAACGGGUUAGUGGCGCACGGGUGAGUAACACGUAGGUGACCUACCCCAGAGUGGGGGGAUAACUUCUCGAAAGAGAGGCUAAUACCGCAUACACUCGGUCAUUCAUUUGGCCGAGCAAAGCUCCGGCGCUUUGGGACGGGCCUGCGUCCGAUUAGCUAGUUGGUAGGGUAAUGGCUUACCAAGGCUUUGAUCGGUAGCUGGUCUGAGAGGACGAUCAGCCACACUGGCACUGACACACGGGCCAGACUCCUACGGGAGGCAGCAGUGAGGAAUAUUGGGCAAUGGGCGAAAGCCUGACCCAGCAACGCCGCGUGAGGGAUGAAGGCCCUCGGGUUGUAAACUGCUUUUGUACGGAACGAAAAGACACUGGCUAAUACCUGGUGUUGAUGACGGUACCGUAAGAAUAAGCACCGGCUAACUACGUG